rnacentral:rRNA from 1 species
AUAUUAACUCUAAGAGAAAUUUAAUAAUAAACGAAGUGAAUUGAAAUAUCUUAGUAACUUUAGGAAAAGAAAUCAAAAGAGAUUCUAUGAUUAGCGUGAGCUAAAAUAGACUAGCCUAAAAAGUCAAAUGGUGGAUAAACUGUUUAAAUUAAAUGGGGAACCUUCCUCAAAGGCUAAAUAUAAUAUAUAAGCGAUAGUGGAAAGUACCGUGAGGGAACCAAAACAAAAACAGUGAUUUUAUAAGCAGUUCGGGAAAAUAAAAAAAAGUUAGAACGUACCUUUUGCAUAAUGGGUCACCAAGUUAACAUUAGAUGCGAGUAGGAGGGAGCUUUAUAAAAAAAAAUAUAUUUUUUUAUAGCCCCGUGCAUACGUAGUUAAACCGAGCGUUAAAAUAACGGUAAGUAUCUAAAGUUAGACCCGAAGCCUGGUGAUUUUACCAUAAUCAGGAUUAUAAAAGUCCGAACGGAAUAUUGUAGCAUAAAUAUCCGAAGAAUUAUGGUAGGUGUAGUGAAAGACAAUACUGACCAGGAUAGCUGGUUUUCUGCGAAACCUAUAACAGUAGGCAAUUUAAGUAUAAUAUCUUAGCAGGUACAGAAUUUAAUCUCAGACAAGACAUAAGGCUUAGCUUGCUAGCAAGUAAAGCUCAUGUUUUAUUUUGUACAAAUUGGGGGAUCAUGAAGAUUUUAUCAGUGAGUAUGUAGACUCGGAAUGGCAAAGAUAUAUCUUAAAUCAUCAGACAUAGAAUGAUAAGGUUGUAUGUCAAAAGGGAAACAGCCCAGAACAAGAGUUAAGGUUCCUAAAUUAUUAGUUGAGUGAAAUUAAGAAGGUUUUUAUUAAAGUCGACAAGGAGAUAGGCUUAGAAGCAGCCAUAAUUUUAUGACCUCGUAACAGAGCGCUUGUUAAGUUUUAAAAGCAUCGAAAAUUUAUCGGAUCUAAACAAUAUACCGAAACCUUGUCCAUAUUAUUUUAUAAUUAAAGCUUAAUUAUAAUUAAAUGGGGUAGCAGAACGUUGAGCUAAAUUAAGAUUUUUAUUUUUUAAAUGAAAUUAUAAUAAUUUAACUCAAGUGAUAAUGGUGACAUGAGUAACUAAAAGAAAAAAUAAAAUUUUUCCGCCUAAAGCUUAUGGAUGUAAUUAAGUAACGGCCUCUAAGUUUAUAUUAUCUAAAGAUUUAAACGAUGAGAUAAUCUUUUGUACUAAGGACGACAUUUUAAGUGAAAAAUGUACUGGAAAAAUAGUACUAAAUUAAUGGCUAUAGCUAAUUAGGGCUAUAGCUAUAAAUGAAAAGUAACCGUACCUAGAAUCUGAAACAAGUAAGCUAGUAGAGAAUACGAAGGCGUAAAUGAGCUAACAAUCAUAAAGGAACUCGGCAAAUUGACUACCGUAACUUCGGGAUAAGGAGAGCUCAUUAUUCUUGAUUAAUAUCAGGUAAAGAGGAAGAAGCAUGAAAUAGUGUUGUACGACUGUUUAAUUAAAACACAGCACUUUGCUGAAAGAUUAAAAAUCUAAGUAUAGAGUGUGAUGUCUGCCCGGUGCCGGCUGGUUAACAGAUAUAAUUAAAUAUACUAAUAUUUGAUGUAGACGGAAACCCCGGUUAAAGGCGGCCUUAACGACAGGCUAAUUUGCGCAAGAGUGUACAAAAUGAGUGCGCGGUUUGGCACCUCGAUGUCGGCUUAACUUAUCCUCAUGGAUGCAGGAACUAUGUAGGGUGCGACUGUUCGUCGAUUAAAAAGUUACAUGAGCUGGGUUAAAUACGUCGUGAGACAGUAUGGUUUCUAUCUUCUAGGGGGAAUUAGAAUAUAAUAAGAACUAACUUUUGUACGAAAGGAACAAGAAGAAUUUAAUUUGUAAAAGGGUUAAAUAAUAGUUACUAACCUAUGGUUUACCUGUUGUCUAUGUGCCCAAAUAUUAAAAUAUAUAUGGAGGAAGCUCCUUAAGAGCUUCCCCGCAAAUUAUAUAUAUCUGUAUAGCUAGCCUGCGGACUCCGGUUAUGCCUGAGUUUGGCAAGCUAAAGCUAUACAUAGGGAUGUUUCUUUCACUAAGAUAAAUAUAUAGCAUAGGCACGGCAGGAAAGCUAAGUUGGUUAAGGAUAAGUGCUGAAAGCAUAUAGGCACGAAGCUUAUCUUAAGAUAUUUCUUAAAUAUACGUAAAAUAUUAUUACGAAGGAUGUAAUAUAGGCUUUAUCCGUACGAAUCUGGAGAUUUUUAAGAAUAAAGUACUAAUUUUAUAAAUAACUAUUUAUACAUAUAUCA